rnacentral:rRNA from 1 species
GACGAACGCUGGCGGCGUGCUUAACACAUGCAAGUCGAACGGAAAGGCCCUGCUUUUGUGGGGUGCUCGAGUGGCGAACGGGUGAGUAACACGUGAGUAACCUGCCCUUGACUUUGGGAUAACUUCAGGAAACUGGGGCUAAUACCGGAUAGGAGCUCCUGCUGCAUGGUGGGGGUUGGAAAGUUUCGGCGGUUGGGGAUGGACUCGCGGCUUAUCAGCUUGUUGGUGGGGUAGUGGCUUACCAAGGCUUUGACGGGUAGCCGGCCUGAGAGGGUGACCGGCCACAGUGGGACUGAGAUACGGCCCAGACUCCGACGGGAGGGAGAGGUGGGGAAUAGUGCACAAUGGGCGGAAGCCUGAUGCAGCAACGCCGCGUGCGGGAUGACGGCCUUCGGGUUGUAAACCGCUUUCGCCUGUGACGAAGCGUGAGUGACGGUAAUGGGUAGAGAAGCACCGGCUAACUACGUG